UGGGGAAUCUUCCGCAAUGGACGAAAGUCUGACGGAGCAACGCCGCGUGAGUGAAGAAGGUUUUCGGAUCGUAAAACUCUGUCUUUUGGGGCGAACGUGAGUAUGGUGAACAAUCAUAGUCAGUGACGGUACCAAAGGAGGAAGCCACGGCUAACUACGUGCCAGCAGCCGCGGUAAUACGUAGGUGGCAAGCGUUGUCCGGAAUUAUUGGGCGUAAAGAGCGCGUAGGCGGGAUAGUCAGUCUGUUGUAAAGUGCGGGGCUCAACCCCGUGAUCGCAAUGGAAACAGCUAUUCUUGAGUGCAGGAGAGGAAAGUGGAAUUCCCCAGUGUAGCGGUGAAAUGCGUAGAUAUUGGGAGGAACACCAGUGGCGAAGGCGACUUUCUGGACUGUGUCUGACGCUGAGGCGCGAAAGCCAGGGGAGCGAACGGGAUUAGAUACCCCGGUAGUCCUGGCCGUAAACGAUGGGUACUAGGCGUGGGGAGGUAUCGACCCCCUUCCGUGCCGGAGUUAACGCAAUAAGUACCCCCGCCUGGGGAGUCGGUCGCAAGACUGAAACUCAAAGGAAUUGACGGGGUCAUAGCUGUUUCCUG
rnacentral:rRNA from 1 species